CAUCUUUUGGGGAAGGGCCAUUCAAACUGGUUUCACUUGAAGAAAUUAUGCAAAACUGCAUUGCAGUUCCACAGUUGCUCUGUGUGUGAAUGAAAUGCAUCCAUUUAUGUACAGACACAAUUAUUAUCUUUUCCAGACCUUGGGGAAUGUGUGAUUGAAAUGAUGAAUCAAAUGUGGAGAAAAAGCCAAUCUUGGAAAAAGUCUGCAAGUUUGCUGAAGUUUAACCAAAAUGAGAGACACAUCUUCAAAAACACAGUAAAACAGCAAACAGGCACUACUUGCUCUGUCCACGCUGUCUCAAAACACAAGCAAGCCUGUCUGUCCAUUUGCGGAGGGUGUUCACCACAGGUGCUGAUGCGUCAGCAUAUGUGCGAAAGUCCUCCAUGACAUACCCUCCCGAUCCCCGACGGUCAGUCCGACGACCAUGCACUAUUUUCGGACACCUUCUGAGGACAUCCUGCCCACUCUGGAGGAUGGAAACAAGGGCCUAGAAGAAGAAUAAAAACAUUUUCACCGUUUUUGAGACUAAGUCCAUCCACAUUUAGGCACAGAAUGGAAAUAAAAACGUUUUUGGCCGUUUUUUUUACUAAGCCCAUUUGGACUUGGCUCAGAAGCAGAAUAAAAACAUUGUAACUGUUUUUUGAGUAUAUCCUUGUGGACUUAGACUCAGAAUUGGAAUAAAAACGUUUUUGCCCAUUUUUUUAGUGUCCAGCUCCAGUUAAAGUAUCGCAGAGAGUAGCCUUGUAGUGCUGUGUAAGUGAGAGAUCUUUUUGUCAGUCUUAACGACCCUGUCAUUCACAAAAAACACUUAUUUCGGGAGAGGUAAGCUCUAGAGAUGCGCGGAUGGGCUAUUAUUUCAUCCGCAACCGCAUCACAAAACGCUUGAUCCGCCCGCCAUC